rnacentral:rRNA from 1 species
GCUAUACAUGCAGUCGUACNNNNGUGUAGCCNNGUACACUAGUGGCGCACGGGUGCGUAACGCGUANACCAACCUGCCCUGAACUGGGGGAUAGCCCGCCGAAAGGCGGAUUAAUACCGCAUAUACCAGCAGCCUGGCAUCAGGCAAUUGGGAAAGAUUUAUUGGUUCAGGAUGGGGUUGCGUGACAUUAGCUAGUUGGCGGGGUAACGGCCCACCAAGGCGACGAUGUCUAGGGGACCUGAGAGGGUGAUCCCCCACACUGGCACUGAGAUACGGGCCAGACUCCUACGGGAGGCAGCAGUAGGGAAUAUUGGGCAAUGGGCGAGAGCCUGACCCAGCCAUGCCGCGUGCCGGAUGAAGGCCUUCUGGGUUGUAAACGGCUUUUCUCAGGGAAGAAAAAGGUGAUGCGUCACAAACUGACGGUACCUGAGGAAUAAGCACCGGCUAACUCCGUGCCAGCAGCCGCGGUAAUACGGAGGGUGCAAGCGUUGUCCGGAUUUAUUGGGUUUAAAGGGUGCGUAGGCGGCCCGUUAAGUCCGGGGUGAAAGCCCACAGCUCAACUGUGGAACUGCCCUGGAUACUGGCGGGCUUGAGUCCAGACGAGGUUGGCGGAAUGGAUGCUGUAGCGGUGAAAUGCAUAGAUAGCAUCCAGAACCCCGAUUGCGAAGGCAGCUGACUAGGCUGGUACUGACGCUGAGGCACGAAAGCGUGGGGAGCGAACAGGAUUAGAUACCCUGGUAGUCCACGCCGUAACGAUGGAUACUCGCUGGUGGCGAUAGACAGUCACUGGCUUA